GCUUGUCUCAAAGAUUAAGCCAUGCAUGUCUAAGUAUAAACAACUUUGUACUGUGAAACUGCGAAUGGCUCAUUAUAUCAGUUAUAGUUUAUUUGAUGGUUCUUACUACAUGGAUAACUGUAGUAAUUCUAGAGCUAAUACAUGCGUCAGAACCCAACUUUACGGAAGGGUCGUGUUUAUUAGAUACAAAACCAACAUCUCGUUGGUGAUUCAUAAUAACCAAGCGAAUCGUCGGUUUACCGACGAUAGAUCGUUCAAGUUUCUGACCUAUCAGCUUUGGUCGGUAGGGUAUUGGCCUACCGAGGCAAUGACGGGUAACGGAGAAUUAGGGUUCGAUUCCGGAGAGGGAGCCUGAGAAACGGCUACCACAUCUAAGGAAGGCAGCAGG
rnacentral:rRNA from 1 species